rnacentral:lncRNA from 1 species
GGCGGGAGGGGGAGCGCGGGGGUGGGUCCCCGAGCGUCCCAUUUCGCCUCCGGGCGGUUCGCUGAGCGUCCUAGCUCAGUGCGGAGGGGCAGGCGGGGCCUUCUGGACCACACGCCGCCCUCGCCGGGGUUCUGGGUUUGUUCCGAGGCAUCUCCUUCCGAACCCCUCGUCCAUCCUUCGAGAAGGGGGCUGACUCGUCUUCCUUCCGCUCAGUGCACACGUCCGCCAGCUCUUCUGACUCGGUGAGAGUGAUUUCCCAGCGAUUGCUUCGGCCGGUACAACCAGAGAACAGGAUUCUUUUCUUUUUGGCUGCUAAAUGCCUCUGUAUUCCACACUUUCCAGUGAGGGGAGAAGGCUGGAGCUUCUUGGAUGAUGAUGGAUAUUCCGCUGGGCAGGAUGAGGGCAGAGUGUGUGACAUCAACAGCACAAGGGUAAGAGCUGCCUGUCUGGUGUUUUCUCUGAUGCCAGCAUUUACCAAAGGAAGGGGAGAAAAACCUAGUGACAGAAAUGAGGGUUAAGCAUCUGGGAGACUCUUCUGUUUGUAAACAUCCAUGGGGCAGUUGGGGUAGAUGACUGAGGAAGGAAG